GCCCCGGUUCGUUCCGCAUCCUACAUCGGAAACAAGACUCAGUCCUGUCUCUCUCUACAACCCCCGUGGCACAGACAAGGGGAAUAGGCAGAGAGGGGAGCCAAGAGUUCCGCACACAGCAGCACUCCAAGCUUCUCAUCACCUCUUGACUCCGAAACAAAUCCAGUUGUUGUCUCCAGGUUAUCUGCCCAUUUCAAGAAAGCAUCAACGGCAAGAAAAGCAACCAACACACUCUCCCUCUGCCUAGGAUUCUGGAUUUUAAAAAAAGCCACACCUAAAAGAUGUCAUUGAAAGAUCACUCAUCUGAACUCCUCUAUUUAUUCCACCAGACUAUUUCAGAUCGUAAAAAUGUUCUUUCCAGAAUAUUCUGACGUCAAUUUCCAGGGAGUGAAAAGAGGGAGAAAAUCGUGCAGUCUCACAGUCGGUGGCCUCUGCGGUUCCUGACUUUAACAGGAAUGGCUUUGCAAAGCUAUGUGUUUAUUCGCCGUGGGUGUGUCCUGGAUUCCACUGUCAAGCUCCCUCAAAGGCCACAGCCAUACCUUCCCAUGAAGACUUCCCCCUUAUUAAAGAAACACCUCCCACAAACUCAGCAGGGCCAAUGGGAAGGGUGAAGACAGGAAGAGAUUCUUCUCCCUCUCCCUGGCCAAGGAUCGGAGUCCCUUCCCGUCAGGAUCUUUCCAUUUCUUUCAUGCUAGAAGGACCUUCCUAAAUUCGUCAAGCAGAGAUGAGAUUUGGGCUUGAGAUACGACUCCACUCUCAUGCUACAUACUCAGACAGGCUGCUACCUACCUUCUUAUUUUUCCACAUUGUUACAAGUGUUUCCGUAGGUAUAAGCAGGUGCACAGAUGAAAUGUGAUCUGCUAUUAAUGUAACUUACAUUCUCCUGCUAAAUAGUGAUUUUUGUCAUGUUUCAUAUUCAUCUUAGCUAUGUGGGUUUACUUUUCUCUUUGUGAAAUUCCUAAUUAUCGCCUUUGGUCAUUUUUCUAUUUGAUUCUCCCCCACCCCCUUUUCCAUCAAUUUCUAAGAACUCUUUAUCCAUCGCAAACACUGUCAGGCAUUGUUCUUUGCAAACAUUGCUCCAGAUCCAUUGUUUCUUUAGAGCUCGGGUGGAUGGGAGUAGCACAUGUCCACAAAUGUGCAGGUGUGCACUCUCUUGCUAAACAUUGGCAGGCCAGAAGAGGAUGCUGGCAUCUUUUGCUCUCUCCUCUACUCCCUUAAAAACAGGCUCUCCCUAACUGAACCCAAAGGUUGACAUUUGGGCUAGGCCAGCUGUCCAGUGUGCUCCCAGAUCUGUCUGUCUCCACCCUUCGAUGUUAGAGUCUUGGGCACAUCCAGCCACGCCCAACUUUUUUAUAUGGGUGUUUAAGAUUCAACCUCAGGUUUUCAGGCUUGCACAGUGAGUACUUUCCCUCGCUGAGCUGUCUCUCCAGGCCUCUGCUCUAUUUGUUAAAGUGUACAGUGAUGUGCGUCUGAUUAAGAUUUAUUCUCUUUCAUUUCUAGUCUCUGGGUUUCUGGUCUUGCUUAAGAAUCUUCUUCUUUCCUUUCGGAUGUGUAUGAUCACGUGUCUAUAGUCCCAACUACUCAGGAGGCUAUGGCAAGAGGGUCAUGAGUGAAAGAGCAACCUGGGCCACAUAGUGAGAACCUGUCUCAAAAUAUUUUUAAAAAUAAAUAAAUAGAAAUGGGCCAGGC